rnacentral:rRNA from 1 species
UGGGGAAUAUUGGACAAUGGGCGCAAGCCUGAUCCAGCCAUACCGCGUGUGUGAAGAAGGUCUUAGGAUUGUAAAGCACUUUAAGUUGGGAGGAAGGGUUGUUGCUUAAUACGUAACAACUUUGACGUUACCGACAGAAUAAGCACCGGCUAACUCUGUGCCAGCAGCCGCGGUAAUACAGAGGGUGCAAGCGUUAAUCGGAAUUACUGGGCGUAAAGCGCGCGUAGGUGGUUCAGUAAGAUGGGUGUGAAAUCCCCGGGCUCAACCUGGGAACUGCUUUCAUAACUGCUGAACUAGAGUACGGUAGAGGGUAGUGGAAUUUCCUGUGUAGCGGUGAAAUGCGUAGAUAUAGGAAGGAACACCAGUGGCGAAGGCGACUACCUGGACUGAUACUGACACUGAGGUGCGAAAGCGUGGGGAGCAAACAGG